ensembl:lncRNA
GUUCCAGAAUUAGAACCUUUCAUUCUGGCACUCUGGAGGCAGAGGCAGACAGUCUUGGACCUACAAUAUUAAGGCCUACCAAAAGACCUACAUCAAAACAGAAGAGAUACUGCAUGUAUGUUUGCCUGUGGAUCAUGUGUCCUUGCCUGAGGAAGCCGGAAGAGGUCAUUAAGUCCCCUGUAACUGGAGCUACAGAGUUCUGAGCGGCCUGUGUGUGCAGGGAACUGAAUCUAGGUCCUCUGCAAGCACAGCAAGUGAGGUGAAACAACUGUAAAAAAGAUCUAACUACAUCUUGAAGGAGAUGCUCAUAGAACAGGAGGGGGAUACAAGAUCUCCCAGAGAUAGAUUAAAUAAUCCUUUAUUGACUUCAAAAAUUUUAAAUGUCAAUGAGACAGCAUAGCUGUUGAAAAAACAGUGGAUUUUAGAAAGGACUGCUGAGUUAAAUCAGCCUAUGUAUGUGGCCACCCAGACUGGAAGUCCGGAAAUGUGAUGCAUUAAGGACGAGCUCA